rnacentral:rRNA from 1 species
UACAGGGGGUGCUAGCGUUGUUCGGAAUUACUGGGCGUAAAGCGCACGUAGGCGGCUUAGUAAGUUGGAUGUGAAAUCCCUCGGCUUAACCAAGGAAGUGCAUCCAAAACUACUGAGCUUGAGUACUAAAGAGGAUCGCGGAAUUCCCGGUGUAGUGGUGAAAUGCGUAGAUAUCGGGAGGAACACCAGUGGCGAAGGCGGCUUCCUGGCCUGUUCUUGACGCUGAGGCGCGAAAGCUAGGGUAGCAAACGGG